rnacentral:rRNA from 1 species
GAUGAACGCUGGCGGCGUGCCUAAUACAUGCAAGUCGAGCGAACAGACGAGGAGCUUGCUCCUCUGACGUUAGCGGCGGACGGGUGAGUAACACGUGGAUAACCUACCUAUAAGACUGGGAUAACUUCGGGAAACCGGAGCUAAUACCGGAUAAUAUAUUGAACCGCAUGGUUCAAUAGUGAAAGACGGUUUUGCUGUCACUUAUAGAUGGAUCCGCGCCGCAUUAGCUAGUUGGUAAGGUAACGGCUUACCAAGGCAACGAUGCGUAGCCGACCUGAGAGGGUGAGCGGGCACACUGGAACGGAGACACGGUCCAGACGCCUACGGGAGGCAGCAGUAGGGAAUACUCGGCAAUGGGCGAAAGCCUGACGGAGAAACGCCGCGUGAGUGAUGAAGGUCUUCGGAUCGUAAAACUCUGUUAUUAGGGAAGAACAAAUGUGUAAGUAACUAUGCACGUCGUGACGGUACCUAAUCAGAAAGCCACGGCUAACUACGUG